rnacentral:rRNA from 1 species
UGUGGUUACAAUAGCAGAGAGGCUACACCUGUUCCCAAUCCGAACACAAUAGUUAAUCUCUCUAGCGCUGAUGUUACUUUGUAGGCAACUCGCGUGUGAGGUCGGAC